rnacentral:rRNA from 1 species
GACGAACGCUGGCGGCGUGCCUAAUACAUGCAAGUAGAACGCUGAAGGAGGAGCUUGCUCCUCUGGAUGUGUUGCGAACGGGUGAGUAACGCGUAGGUAACCUGCCUGGUAGCGGGGGAUAACUAUUGGAAACGAUAGCUAAUACCGCAUAAGAGUAGAUGUUGCAUGACAUUUGCUUAAAAGGUGCAAUUGCAUCACUACCAGAUGGACCUGCGUUGUAUUAGCUAGUUGGUGGGGUAACGGCUCACCAAGGCGACGAUACAUAGCCGACCUGAGAGGGUGAUCGGCCACACUGGGACUGAGACACGGCCCAGACUCCUACGGGAGGCAGCAGUAGGGAAUCUUCGGCAAUGGACGGAAGUCUGACCGAGCAACGCCGCGUGAGUGAAGAAGGUUGUCGGAUCGUAAAGCUCUGUUGUAAGAGAAGAACGAGUGUGAGAGUGGAAAGUUCACACUGUGACGGUAUCUUACCAGAAAGGGACGGCUAACUACGUG